rnacentral:rRNA from 1 species
GAUUAGCUAGUUGGUGCGUUAACGGCUCACCAAGGCUACGCUCCCUAGCUGGUCUGAGAGGAUGACCCGCCACACUGGAACUGAGACGCUGUUCAGACCCUUAUGGCAGCCAGCAGUCGGUACUAUUUCACAAUGUGCUCAAGCCCUAUGCAGCCAUGCCGCGUGUAUGAAGUAGUCCUUCGGGUUGUAACGUACUUUCAGCGGGGAGGCAGGUGUUCUGUUUAAUAACCGCA